AUUGAACGCUGGCGGCAUGCCUAACACAUGCAAGUCGAACGGCAGCACGGGGGCUUGCACCUGCUGGCGUGUGGCGCACGGGGGAGUAAUACAUCGGAACAAGUUCCGUAGUGGGGGAUAGUACGGUGAAAGACGGAUUAAUACUGCAGACGAACUACGUAAGAAAGCGGGGUCCAUUGGGGCCUCCCGUCAUGGGGUCGGCUGAUGGAUGAUUAGCUAGUUGGUAGGGUAAAGGCAUACCAAGGCCACGAUCAGUAAAUGGUCCGAGAGGGCGACCAGCCACACUGGGACUGAGACACGGUCCAGACUCCUACGGGAGGCAGCAGUAGGGAAUUUUGGACAAUGGGCGAAAGCCUGAUGCAGCAACGCCGCGUGAGUGAUGAAGGCCUUCGGGUUGUAAAGCACUUUUAUCCGGAAAGAAAACCUUGGCUAUAAUACAGUCGGGGAAUGACGGUACCGGAUGAGUAAGCACCGGCUAACUACGUG
rnacentral:rRNA from 1 species